GACGAACGCUGGCGGCGUGCUUAACACAUGCAAGUCGAGCGGUAAGGCCCUUUCGGGGGUACACGAGCGGCGAACGGGUGAGUAACACGUGGGUGACCUGCCCUCAGCUCUGGGAUAAGCCUGGGAAACCGGGUCUAAUACCGGAUAUGACUCCAUGACGCAUGUUGUGGGGUGGAAAGCCUUGUGCGGCUGAGGAUGGGCCCGCGGCCUAUCAGCUUGUUGGUGGGGUGANGGCCUACCAAGGCGACGACGGGUAGCCGGCCUGAGAGGGCGACCGGCCACACUGGGACUGAGACACGGCCCAGACUCCUACGGGAGGCAGCAGUGGGGAAUAUUGGACAAUGGGCGCAAGCCUGAUCCAGCGAUGCCGCGUGUGUGAAGAAGGCCUGCGGGUUGUAAA
rnacentral:rRNA from 1 species